rnacentral:rRNA from 1 species
GAUGAACGCUGGCGGAGUGCCUAACACAUGCAAGUCGAGCGGCAGCGCGAGUAGUUUACUACUUGGCGGCGAGCGGCGGACGGCUGAGUAACGCGUGGGAACAUGCCCCCAAAGUGAGGAAUAACUGCCCGAAAGGGUAGCUAAUGCCGCAUACGAUCUUCGGAUUAAAGGAUUUAUCCGCUUUGGGAGUGGCCUGCGUACGAUUAGAUAGUUGGUGAGGUAAUGGCUCACCAAGUCUACGAUCGUUAACUGGUUUGAGAGGAUGAUCAGUCAGACUGGAACUGAGACACGGUCCAGACUCCUACGGGAGGCAGCAGUGAGGAAUCUUCCACAAUGGACGAAAGUCUGAUGGAGCAACUCCGCGUGCAGGAUGAAGGCCUUCGGGUCGUAAACUGCUUUUAUUGAGUGAAGGAAUAUGACGGUAACUCAUGAUAAAGGUACGGCUAACUACGUGCCAGCAGCCGCGGUAAU